rnacentral:rRNA from 1 species
GUGUCAGCCGCCGCGGUAAUACGGGGGGAGCGAGCGUUGUUCGGAUUCAUUGGGCGUAAAGGGCGCGUAGGCGGCUUGGCAAGUCUGACGUGAAAUGUACCGGUUCAACCGGGGCGCUGUGUCGGAAACUGCCUGGCUUGAGGUCGAGGGAGGAAGGUGGAAUUCCUGGUGUAGCGGUGAAAUGCGUAGAUAUCAGGAGGAACACCCGUGGCGAAGGCGGCCUUCUAUCUCGAUUCUGACGCUGAGGCGCGAAAGCUAGGGGAGCAAACGGGAUUAGAAACCCCAGUAGUCC